rnacentral:lncRNA from 10 species
CUCAAGCCUAGGGAGAGAAUGACCCAGGAGCUCCUUCCAACCUUACAGCAAGUGUGUUUUCAGUGUGGUUCAUUCAGCACCCUUGGUGUAUAUGAGGACAAGGUCUCACUCUAUCAUCGAGGCUGGAGUGCAGUGGUGCAAUCACAGUUCACUGCAGCUUCAACCUCCUGGGCUCGAGCAAUUCUCCGACCUCAGCUUCCUGAGUAGCUGGAACUACAGGUGUAUGCCACCACACAUGGCUAAUUUUUGUAAUUUUGUGUAGAGAUGGAGUUUUGUCAUAUUGCCCAGGCUGCUCUCCAACUCCUGGCCUCAAGCAAUCUGCCUGUCUUGGCCUCCCAAAUUGUUGGGAUUACAGAAGUGAGCCACCAUGCCCUGCAACAUCCUCCUUUUUGAAACACAGUCAGGCUUGCAGAGACACAGCAAAUUUCUUUUUUGUCGCACUUGUUAGGAAUGCAGAUGCAGA